GACGAACGCUGGCGGCGUGCUUAACACAUGCAAGUCGAACGGAAAGGCCCGGCUUUUGUUGCGUGCUCGUUUGCCGAACGCGUGAGUAACACGUGAGUAACCUGCCCUUGACUUUGUGAGAACUUCACGAAACUGGGGCUAAUACCGCAUAGGAUCUUCUGCUCCGUGUGGGUCGAUGGAGAGUGUCGGCGGUUUGGGCUGGACUCGAGGGUUAUCAGCUUGUUUGUCUGGUAGUGGCUUACCAAGGCUUUGACGGGUAGCCUGCCUGAGAGGGUUACCGGCGACCUUGGGACUGAGAUAGGGCGCAGACUCCUACGGGCGGCAGCAGUGGGGAAUAUUGCACAAUGGGCGGAAGCCUGAUGUAGCAACGUCGCGAGCGGGAUGACGGGCUACGGGUUGUAAACAGAUUUCGAAUGUGACGAAGAGAGAGUGACGGUAAUGGGUAAAGAAGCACCGGCUAACUACGUG
rnacentral:rRNA from 1 species